rnacentral:rRNA from 1 species
CACGUAGUUAGCCGGGGCUUCUUAGUCAGGUACCGUCUGUUUUCUUCCCUGCUGAUAGAAGUUUACAUACCGAAAUACGUCUUCCUUCACGCGGCGUCGCUGCAUCAGGGUUUCCCCCAUUGUGCAAUAUUCCCCACUGCUGCCUCCCGCAGGAGUCUGGGCCGUGUCUCAGUCCCAGUGUGGCCGUCCGCCCUCUCAGGCCGGCUACUGAUCGUCGGUUUGGUGGGCCGUUACCCCGCCAACUGCCUAAUCAGACGCGGACCCAUCGCAUACCACCGGAAUUUUCCCCGCUGUGCCAUGCGGCACUGCGGGCAUAUGCGGUAUUAGCAACUGUUUCCAGCUGUUAUCCCCCGGUAUGCGGCAGGUUAUCCACGCGUUACUCACCCGUCCGCCACUAAGCCUCCGCACUCUUUCUACCGAAAUAGUCCGUGUCCGGCGCUCCGUUCGACUUGCAUGUGUUAAGCACGCCGCCAGCGUUCAUCCUGAGCCAGGAUCAAACUC